UACGUAGGGGGCAAGCGUUGUCCGGAUUCAUUGGGCGUAAAGAGCGUGUAGGCGGCCAGGUAGGUCGGUUGUGAAAACUGGAGGCUCAACCUUCAGAGGUCGACCGAAACCAUCUGGCUAGAGUCCGGGAGAGGAGAGUGGAAUUCCAGGUGUAGCGGUGAAAUGCGUAGAUAUCUGGAGGAACACCGGUGGCGAAGGCGGCAUCCUGGACCAAUUCUGACGCUGAGGAGCGAAAGCCAGGGGAGCAAACGGG
rnacentral:rRNA from 1 species